GUAUUGUGUGAAAGGAGUAAAGGCUCCCCUUGACAAGGAUGGAAGAGGUCCUAGUGGCACAUACCUGGUUGAAGCAUUGCCGCCUACUUAGUGGCAUCUCUAACCAUGUAGGUGU